CUCGGCUUCUCAUCGUGUUACCCA
rnacentral:miRNA from 1 species